CCCUUAGAUGUUCUGGGCUGCACGCGCGCUACACUGAUGCGCUCAACGAGUUUACGAACUUGCCCGGAAGGGUUGGUUAAUCUUUUUAAAACGCAUCGUGAUGGGGAUAGAUUAUUGCAAUUAUUAAUCUUCAACGAGGAAUUCCUAGUAAGCGCGAGUCAUCAGCUCGCACUGAUUACGUCCCUGCCCUUUGUACACACCGCCCGUCGCUCCUACCGAUUGGGUGAGCCGAUGAAACUCUCGGAUGUAGGCUAUUCAUAGCCCGCAGAAGAGAUUUGAAUCGUAGCGCUUAGAGGAAGGAGAAGUCGUAACA
rnacentral:rRNA from 1 species